AUUAAAAAAAAAAGAGAGAGAGAAAAUUAACCAAAUCUCAAUCUCUGAACCAGGGGCCAGCAGUACCUGCAGGACUACGGGACCUGGAGUACAGAAGGACGCCCUGAGCUCUGCAUCUCUACUCAGCAAUGCUGUUGCUAAGCGACAGGCCCAGCAAAUCCCCUACUGAUGCAACUGCUGGAUUGCUGAGAACUUUCAGAGCAGGACAUCGGGCUGCCAGGAGGAUGACACUGCAGGGCUGUUUGUUGGGAAGGUAUAUACGUGCCAGGCAUGGCUCCAGGGAACAGUGCAGCCCCUUGAGUUUAGAGCAGCACCUUCUGCGAGGGAACUCCUGUGCAAUAUCCUUCACUGUGCUGUUGCUGCUGGGCCCUGGCCCAUCAUGUGUGCGUGGCUUCUGUGACAGGAGCAGCAUCAUGGAAUUACAUUACCAAUUAAUUUGCAAAUGAUGGUGGAGAUGUACUCAACAGUCCAAAAGAAAAAAAAAAAAAAAGGAGAG
rnacentral:lncRNA from 1 species